GAUGAACGCUGGCGGCGUGCCUAAUACAUGCAAGUCGAGCGAACAGACGAGGAGCUUGCUCCUCUGACGUUAGCGGCGGACGGGUGAGUAACACGUGGAUAACCUACCUAUAAGACUGGGAUAACUUCGGGAAACCGGAGCUAAUACCGGAUAAUAUAUUGAACCGCAUGGUUCAAUAGUGAAAGACGGUUUUGCUGUCACUUAUAGAUGGAUCCGCGCCGCAUUAGCUAGUUGGUAAGGUAACGGCUUACCAAGGCGACGAUGCGUAGCCGACCUGAGAGGGUGAUAGGCCACACUGGAACUGAGACACGGUCCAGACUCCUGCGGGAGGCAGCAGUAGGGAAUCUUCCGCAAUGGGCGAAAGCCUGACGGAGCAACGCCGCGUGAGUGAUGAAGGUCUUCGGAUCGUAAAACUCUGUUAUUAGGGAAGAACAAAUGUGUAAGUAACUAUGCACGUCUUGACGGUACCUAAUCAGAAAGCCACGGCUAACUACGUG
rnacentral:rRNA from 1 species